GAUGAACGCUGGCGGCGUGCCUAAUACAUGCAAGUCGAGCGAAUGGAUUAAGAGCUUGCUCUUAUGAAGUUAGCGGCGGACGGGUGAGUAACACGUGGGUAACCUGCCCAUAAGACUGGGAUAACUCCGGGAAACCGGGGCUAAUACCGGAUAACAUUUUGAACCGCAUGGUUCGAAACUGAAAGGCGGCUUCGGCUGUCACUUAUGGAUGGACACGCGUCGCAUUAGCUAGUUGGUGAGGUAACGGCUCACCAAGGCAACGAUGCGUAGCCGACCUGAGAGGGUGAUCGGCCACACUGGGACUGAGACACGGCCCAGAAUCCUACGGGAGGCAGCAGUAGGGAAUCUUCCGCAAUGGACGAAAGUCUGACGGAGCAACGCCGCGUGAGUGAUGAAGGCUUUCGGGUCGUAAAACUCUGUUGUUAGGGAAGAACAAGUGCUAGUCGAAUAAGCUGGCACCUUGACGGUACCUAACCAGAAAGCCACGGCUAACUACGUGCCAGCCGCCGCCGUAA
rnacentral:rRNA from 1 species